rnacentral:rRNA from 1 species
GACGAACGCUGGCGGCGUGCCUAAUACAUGCAAGUAGAACGCUGAAGAGAGGAGCUUGCUCUUCUUGGAUGAGUUGCGAACGGGUGAGUAACGCGUAGGUAACCUGCCUUGUAGCGGGGGAUAACUAUUGGAAACGAUAGCUAAUACCGCAUAACAAUGGAUGACACAUGUCAUUUAUUUGAAAGGGGCAAUUGCUCCACUACAAGAUGGACCUGCGUUGUAUUAGCUAGUAGGUGAGGUAAUGGCUCACCUAGGCGACGAUACAUAGCCGACCUGAGAGGGUGAUCGGCCACACUGGGACUGAGACACGGCCCAGACUCCUACGGGAGGCAGCAGUAGGGAAUCUUCGGCAAUGGGGGCAACCCUGACCGAGCAACGCCGCGGGAGUGAAGAAGGUUUUCGGAUCGUAAAGCUCUGUUGUAAGUCAAGAACGGGUGUGAGAGUGGAAAGUUCACACUGUGACGGUAGCUGACCAGAAAGGGACGGCUAACUACGUG